rnacentral:rRNA from 1 species
GACGAACGCUGGCGGCGUGCUUAACACAUGCAAGUCGAACGGAAAGGCCCUGCUUUUGUGGGGUGCUCGAGGGGCGAACGGGUGAGUAACACGUGAGUAUCCUGCCCUUGACUUUGGGAUAACUUCAGGCAACUGGGGCUAAUACCGGAUAGGAGCUCCUGCUGCAUGGUGGGGGUUGGAACGUUUCGGCGGUUGGGGAUGGACUGGCGGGUUAUCAGCUUGUUGGUGGGGUAGUGGCUAACCAAGUGUUAGACGGAUAGCCGGCCUGGGAGGUGGGACGGGGACAUGGGUACUGAGAGACGGAGCAGACGGCAACGGUAGGCAGUGGGCGGGAGCCUGACACAGUGAGGGGGAGUCUGAUGCGGCAGCGCCGCGAGCGGGAUGACGGCCUUCGGGGUAGGAACCGCUGUCGCUUGUGACGAAGCGUGAUUGACGGUAAUAGGUGAAGAAGCACCGGCUAACUACGUG